ensembl:lincRNA
GAGGGGAGGAUGGUGAUGAUGUGAGAGUGACGUGGAGAGGACCUGGGUGAGGACGGGGGAGGGGCGGCACGCACCUGACUCGGCCACCUCCGCGAUGUCCACGCCCUGCUCCUGCGCCAUGAAGCCCAGGAUGGAGAAGAUGGCGAAGCCGGACACGAAGCUCGUCCCGCUGUUGAGGCACCCGAGCAGGAGGCAGUCCCUGCGAGGCCGGGGCGGGUCAGCCGAGGCCAGCCGGCCUCGCCCUCCUCGGCCAGCCGGCCUCGCCCUCCUCGGCCUCCCUCUCCUUUGAGGCCGAGUCUCGCUCUGUCGCCCGGGCCGGAGUGAGCGCCGUGGCCUCAGCCUCGCCCACAGCGGCCUCCGACUCCUGGCCUCCAGCGAGCCUCCCGCCUCGGCCUCCCUCUCCCGAGUAGCUGGGACUGCAGGCGUGUGACACCACGACACCCGGCUCGUUUUUCUCUACAUAUUUUUAGUCGUCCGGCUCAUUUCUUUCUAUUAUUUUUUUAGCAGAGACGGGGUCUCGCUCUUGCUCGGGCUGGCCUCCACCUCCCGGCCUCCAGCACGAGCCUCCCUCCUCGGCCUCCUCCCGAGCAGCUGGGACGACAGGUGCACGCGAGCCUACUCUCUUUCCCUUCAAACGUCGUCGCCACGGCUACCCUCGGACCCGUUGCCGGGGACAACCCAGGACGUACCCCCCGACACUUGCCUGUACGAGUUGUACUUGUACUUGUUAUAGCUCCCCAGCGAGGUCAUGGCCCCCAGGCAAAUCGCGUAGGAGAAGAAGAUCUGGGUCCCCGCGUCGAUCCACACCUGGCCCGGCCGGGCAGGUAAGCAACAAGGGGACAGAGAGAGACAGAGAGAGAGAAAAAAAAAAGGGCAAUCAGGGUGGACUCCCUGGAGGAGGAGGCGGCGGCCUCAGUUCUCGGCCGCGUGGAAUCCCGUUUCCCCCAAAUCGUGGGGGACUUCGCGAGGAGGCCAUGCCGGGAGGCCCGGGACCAAGAACCCACCCCCCCGGUCAGGUAUGGGGGGGCGUUUGAGGCAGAAGAUUCCGGAUUGCAGACCCACCCCCUCCCCCGCCCAACGAGGGGUCUCAUCGGGUUACAAAGUAUCGAAGAUGGUUCGAUCGUUUGGCAACAAAGUAUCGAAGAUGGUUUGAUCGUUUGGCAACAAAAUAUUCGAUCGUUUGGAAACAAAGUAUCGAAGAUGGUUCGACAGUUUCGCAACAAAAUAUUCGAUCGUUUGGCAACAAAGUAUCGAAGAUGGUUUGAUCGUUUGGCAACAAAAUAUUCGAUCGUUUGGAAACAAAGUAUCGAAGAUGGUUCGAUCGUUUGGCAACAAAGUAUCAAAGAUAGUUCGAUAGUUUGGCAACAAAGUAUUCAAUCGUUUGGCAACAAAGUAUCGAAGAUAGUUCGAUCGUUUGGCAACAAAGUAUCAAAAAUGGUUCGAUUGUUUGGCAACAAAGUGUCGACGAUAAUUCGAUAGUUUCCCAAUAAAGUAUUGGAUCGUUUGGCAAAAAAGUAUCGGACAUAGUUUUAUAGUUUGGCAACAAAGUACCAAUGAUAGUUUGAUAGCUUUGCAAUAAAGUAUACGAUCGUUUGGCAACAAACUAUCGAAGAUAGUU